rnacentral:tRNA from 1 species
GGGGUGUAUAGCUCAUUGGUAAAGUAUUCGACUGCAGAUUGAGAGGUCUCCGGUUCAAACCCGGGUAUCUUCU